UAGACCAUAUAACUAUAUAUGAGGUUCAAAAGGUGUAAAACAUUCAUAGUAAAGAUGGUUGCAAAGAGGUGUUUCAUCUGAAAACAAUGGAAACUAACUGUCCAAAUGUUUUUUUACUAGAAUGAUUAGUUAUAGUUUUUAAAAUUUAUUUAUUUUCAUAUUCAUGAUCUUCUUGUACAUGUCCUUAAAAAUUAAAUCCAAAUAUUCA
rnacentral:lncRNA from 1 species